rnacentral:rRNA from 1 species
AGCGAACGUUGGCGGCAGGCCUAACACAUGCAAGUCGAACGAAGUCUUCGGACUUAGUGGCGGACGGGUGAGUAACACGUGGGAACGUGCCUUUAGGUUCGGAAUAACUCAGGGAAACUUGUGCUAAUACCGAAUGUGCCCUUCGGGGGAAAGAUUUAUCGCCUUUAGAGCGGCCUGCGUCUGAUUAGCUAGUUGGUGAGGUAAAGGCUCACCAAGGCGACGAUCAGUAGCUGGUCUGAGAGGAUGAUCAGCCACAUUGGGACUGAGACACGGCCCAAACUCCGACGGGAGGCAGCAGUGGGGAAUCUUGCGCAAUGGGCGAAAGCCUGACGCAGCCAUGCCGCGUGAAUGAUGAAGGUCUUAGGAUUGUAAAAUUCUUUCACCGGGGACGAUAAUGACGGUACCCGGAGAAGAAGCCCCGGCUAACUUCGUGCCAGCCGCCGCGGUAA